rnacentral:rRNA from 1 species
CCUGGGAAACCCGAAAGAUCGAAUGGGGAGAUUCAUCGUCAGCGACGUCGGCUUUUCGGCGGUUCGCGAUGCGCGCGGGCGUCCAUCCGGGCGUCCGCGUCGCACGCGUCCGCCGUGUCUCUGCCAUGCCCGGCGGCGUCGGCGUGCACUUCUCCCCUAGUAGAACGUCGCGACCCGUUGGGUGUCGGUCUACGGCCCGAGUCGUCGCCUGUCCCGUCGCUUCGGCGUCGCGGGUCAGACGCUCGGUGUUGUCAUCCCGACCGGCUGCCCGGCGGUACCCGCACGGUAUCUGGCCGCAAUCGAACUGCGUCCCAGGGCCCGCCGCAAGCGCGGCCAGUGUUCCCCGGAGUUACGGACCCAGUGCCGUUCCCGGGCCUGGCCCGCUGCUCGCCGGCGGUGUCCUCCGACAGGCCGUAGCGUCCCCCUCGUUUUUCGGCGGGGGACGCGCACGUGAUACCGGUCGGCGACGCUACUGCUUUGGGUACUUUCAGG